rnacentral:lncRNA from 1 species
AGAGGUGUGCUUACUAGGGAGGUUGAGAUGGGAGAAUCACUUGAACCCAGAAGUUCAAGGCUAGCCUGGGCAACAUAGUCAGAUACUGUCUCUUAGAAAAAUAAAUAAAUAAAGUGAAAAGACUCAAACAAUAGGAGAGAAUAUGUACAAAUCACAUAUUCGAUAAGGGACUUGUAUCUACACUAUACAAAGAACCCUUGUAGCUCCAUAAUAAAAUUAGUCCAAAUAAAAAAUGGUCAAAGCUUUGAAUAACCAUUUCUUUAAAGAAUUUCUACAAAAGGCCAGUAAACAAAUGAAGUCUCAAUAUUAUUAAUCAUCAGGAAAAUCAAAAUCAAAACAAUGGGCCAGCUCCUUCCCAUCCACUAGGAUGAUUAUACUAAAAAAGACAAACCGUGAGCGUCAGAGAGGAUGUGGGGAGAUUGGCGCUCUCCCUCACUGCUGGUGGGAGUCCAAAAUGGUGCAGCCACUUUGGAAAACAGUCUAGAAAUUCUCAAGAAAUGUUAAACAGAGCUACUAUUUCACCCAGCAAUUCCAUUCCUAAGUAUACCUUCAAGAUAAAUGAAAAUAUAUGCUUAUGUAAAAACUUGUACACAAAUAUUUAUGAUAGCACUAUUUAUAAUGGCCCAAAAGUGCAUCCAAUCUGAAUACUGACCAACAGCUGCACUGAUAAACAAAAUGUGUUCCAUUCAUACAAUGGAAUAUUAGUUGGACAUAAAAAGGGAAAAGACGAUACAUUCGAUAACACAGAUGAGCCUUGAAAACAUUAUGCAAAGAAGGCAGUUAUAAAUGAUGAUGUAUUAUAUGAAGCCAUUUAUAUAGAGUGUCCUGAAUAGGCAAAUCUAUGGAAAUGGAAAUAGAAAAUAGAUUACUGGUUGCCAAGGGCUGGGAGGACAGGAAGACUGGGGGGAUAGGUAAUAGCUAAAGGGUACAUGGCUUUUUUUUGAGAGUGAAGAAAAUGUUCUAAAACUUAUAGUGAGGGUGGUUGUACAGCUUUGUAAAUAUACUAUAAGUCAUUAAAUCAUGCUCUUUAGAUAGGGGAAUUGUAUGGCAUGGAGAUAUUAUAACAAAAUCUUAACAAAAUACUGUAAAAUAAAGAGAAAAAAAUGG